CAGUCGCCACGGUAAUACGAAGGGCGCAAGCGUUACUCGGAAUUACUGGGCGUAAAGCGUGCGUAGGUGGUGGUUUAAGUCCGUUGUGAAAGCCCUGGGCUCAACCUGGGAAUUGCAGUGGAUACUGGGUCACUAGAGUGUGGUAGAGGAUAGUGGAAUUUCCGGUGUAGCAGUGAAAUGCGUAGAGAUCGGAAGGAACAUCUGUGGCGAAGGCGACUAUCUGGGCCAACACUGACACUGAGGCACGAAAGCGUGGGGAGCAAACAGGAUUAGAUACCCCCGUAGUCCCUGUCUCUUAUAC
rnacentral:rRNA from 1 species